UACGUAGGAGGCGAGCGUUGUCUGGAUUUACUGGGCGUAAAGCGCGCGCAGGCGGCAUGGCAAGUACGGAGUGAAAAUUUCCCUGCUCAACGGGGAGGGUGCUUUGUAGACUGCCAAGCUAGAGGACGGUAGAGGCAGGCGGAAUUCCGGGUGUAGCGGUGGAAUGCGUAGAGAGUCCGGAAGAACACCGGUGGCGAAGGCGGCCUGCUGGGCAGUAGCUGGACACUGGAGGCGCGACAGCGUGGGGAGCAAACGGG
rnacentral:rRNA from 1 species